rnacentral:rRNA from 1 species
GCCUUGGAGUGGGGAAUAACAGCUGGAAACAGCUGCUAAUACCGCAUAAUGCAGUUGGGUCGCAUGGCUCUGACUGCCAAAGAUUUAUCGCUCUGAGAUGGACUCGCGUCUGAUUAGCUAGUUGGCGGGGCAACGGCCCACCAAGGCGACGAUCAGUAGCCGGACUGAGAGGUUGGCCGGCCACAUUGGGACUGAGACACGGCCCAGACUCCUACGGAAGGCAGCAG